AAUGACCUUAUGAGUGUUGAAGGCAUGAUAGAGAGAGAUAGCGUCAGGUUCCAUGAGAUUGUGAACGUAGCAUGCUAAAUACAUCUGAAGUUCACCCCUUUUUCUUUUUUUCCCCCCAGUGCUCUUUUCGAUUUCGCCCAAGACAAAAAGUGGAGCUAUCACAGCGAUGAUGCUGGAGUUCUAAUCCAGGGACCACCAGCCUCUGUGAAAAUGAACGAUGAAGCCAGUUUAGAACAAACUUCAGGUGACGAACGGAGCGGUUUACACCAGAGGAGACGGAGGUUCUGAUAUCAUUUUUGGAACUGCCAGCAGGCUUCCUGGUUUCGCGGAGGUAAAGACAGCCCGGGACCAGGCAGAGAGGGGAGCUGUAUGG
ensembl:lncRNA